rnacentral:tRNA from 1 species
GGAGAGGCCGUGGCUUAGUGAUAGAGCACCUGUGUGGCAUUCAGAAGGUCCCAGGUUCAGUACCAGGCCUCUCUA